rnacentral:rRNA from 1 species
UACAGAGGUCUCAAGCGUUGUUCGGAUUCAUUGGGCGUAAAGGGUGCGUAGGUGGCGGGGUAAGUCAGGUGUGAAAUCUCGGGGCUCAACCCCGAAACUGCACUUGAUACUGCCUUGCUCGAGUACUGGAGAGGAGAUUGGAAUUUACGGUGUAGCAGUGAAAUGCGUAGAUAUCGGUAGGAACACCAGUGGCGAAGGCGGUCUCCUGGGGCAUUCUUGACGCUGAUGCGCGAAAGCUGGGGGAGCAAACGGG